CUUGGAGUAUGCAAAGGGUCAAAUAAAGCUCAAACCUUUUUUCAAGAUUUGCGUGUUUAUGUGUGUGUGAGAGAGAGAAACGCUGGCCCCCAAUUGAGAAAAGGGCAAGAAACCAAAACCAGCCAUCCCACAGAAGCUUCCAAGAAAUUAAAGCGGCUGUUAGCUGAUUAUAAAAUUGGUUUCUAAGAUAUCUUGCAGUAAAAUUAGUAGUACUAGUAGAUUGAAUCAUUGUAGCAAAAGGGAUGGGGUUGAAAAAUUGAUGCGAAUAUGCGCGUGAAUCUCACAGCAACUGUGGAGGUGGGGACGGGAUUUCCACGGGGCAAGGUCGUGAAAUGCAUGGGAGGAGACUAGGAGAGAGGAGAAGAGGAGAGCCUAAAAUGAGGAGAAGGACAAAUUAGUGGAACGCGGCUUCUCCCGGAGCGCGCACGAUGGUGGCGCUGGCGCAGGACUACAAUGCCGCCGCCCCUCAGUGACGAGAUGGUGAUGAAGAUGCGUGAGAAAGCAGUUUUAUCACUUCUAACUCGGUAGCAACGAAGACGAGGUUCUAAUGCGCCUGUUGUUGCUUCUUCCUUGUAAUUUAAAGACGAGUUUAUAUUUCAAUCUCCGACUACAACUUUGGGGAGUCAAAGCUCUUUCUUUAUUCAUGGACUGCAAGUUUCAUGGUUAUGACGAGCUCAAAGUGCCUAUUUUUUAUGCUCUGUGUACCAUGUGAUGUAGCAAGACCACUUCUAAUGACAUUUGGCUAAUCGUGCUAUGCUUUAAUUACUAAGUUGUAUGUGCUAUGCUUUGUAUUAUGCAUUGAAGAUGUGAAUAAUAGUAACAUAUGUUAAUGCUAAGAUCA